rnacentral:rRNA from 1 species
AUUGAACGCUGGCGGCAGGCUUAACACAUGCAAGUCGAGCGGGGAAAGGUAGCUUGCUACCUGACCUAGCGGCGGACGGGUGAGUAAUGCUUAGGAAUCUGCCUAUUAGUGUGGGACAACAUUCCGAAAGGAAUGCUAAUACCGCAUACGCCCUACGGGGGAAAGCAGGGGAUCUUCGGACCUUGCGCUAAUAGAUGAGCCUAAGUCAGAUUAGCUAGGUGGGGGGGUAAAGGCCUACCAAGGCGACGAUCUGUAGCGGGUCUGAGAGGAUGUUCCGCCACACUGGGACUGAGACACGGCCCAGACUCCUACGGGAGGCAGCAGUGGGGAAUAUUGGACAAUGGGCGAAAGCCUGAUCCAGCCAUGCCGCGUGUGUGAAGAAGGCCUUUUGGUUGUAAAGCACUUUAAGCGAGGAGGAGGCUACUUGGAUUAAUACUCUAGGAUAGUGGACGUUACUCGCAGAAUAAGCACCGGCUAACUCUGUGCCAGCAGCCGCAGUAAAAC